UUACGUUAGCUAGCCGUUGCAUUUGAAUUUUCUUUUUUCUUAAGCAUUCCUGUCGAUUAUAAUCGAUAGGAUUCUUAGUAUUUCUGGCCGGCCCCGGGCGGCUGGCUGCAAGCAGCCUGCAGCCAGCCUUCCAGCCCUCUAACCCUCUCCGAUUCCGUGGGAUCCUCUUAUAUUCUAGAACUAUCUGAUCUAACCCACGGUUAGAGACGAUUUUCGUUCUAUUUUUGACCUUCUAGCCCUGUGAAGCGUUUGGUUGAAGAUGACCUUAAGGGUUGGUUUGAUCUGGGUUUUCCAAGUAAGUUCUGCAUGAAAGUGUUGGCUGCUGCUGCUCCGCUCCCUCAACGCUCAUUUUUUACAUAUCGCAUCGUCGAUCCGAUCCCAGCUCCAAUCCGCCAAACAGGCUCGUCCUCCCUCCCAAAGCCCUAAUUCGUAUUGUUUAUUUCUGUCGGAAUUUUGAUCUGAUUUUUUUUUUCCAUAUUUCCAGUAAAUCAUUUGUUAUUCCUCCUCAUCUCUCUCAGUGCUUUCACUGAAAUUUUCAGUUCUUAGAUCCUAUUUUGUUUCUGAUUUUAGUUUGCGUUCAGUGUGAUUUUGUGUGAAAGAAUCAAAGAUGUUGGGAAUUUUAAGGCAAAAAGUGGGAGCUGGAAGCUCAUCAGCUAUGAUACACCCUCUACUUCUGCAAUUUAUGAACUUUCAUUAUAUAAAACACUUGAUUAAUUUACUAUUAUGUGAUUUACUGCCUAAUCUUUGUGUUGGUUCAGAUUUUGGGGCGGAGGAUCCACCCCGCCACGUCGGCAAUGAGGGGUUUCGCAUCUUCGGUGAAAGUGAUCAGGCGAUUCCGGAGGCCCUGCCAUCGAGGUACGUAAAAGCUGCCAAUUGGAUUUGUUCCCCAGAUGAUAAUGGCAUACCUAUAUAAUGGUUGUUCUUUUGCUUUGAUGUAGAAAUUAAGGAGAAAGAACCGAAAGGUGAGGAAGAAAAGAAGGGAAAGGAGGAUAGAGAGCUCUGCACAUGCAAAUGUUAGUGUACAUGUAAAGCAGAAGUUUUACUCUUUCGUGUUGUUUAUCUCGGUCUAGCUCUGGCAUUUUGAGGGUCUCCGAGAAUACAAUAUACUGUGACUCAGGUGCUUCUUGGGGAUGUUGGAGCUGGGAAAUCAAGUCUGGUGUUGCGCUUUGUAAAAGAACAAUUUGUUGAAUUUCAGGAGUAGAAUUGGUGAGCAACAUAAAAUGGAGAUGUAGGCCAAAGAGGCUGGCUGAGAAGGCCUGCUCAAACGUAUAUAAGCUGCUCAAACUGAUGUAUAGGCCAACAUAAAGAUUAGGUUGUCGAGCUUUUUGGCUAUUUUAUAGAAGAGAUGAUAUGGAACAAUUUUUGUGAAGGGAGUGCUUUUGUUUGAUCCCAGUAAGUUGAAUUUUUAAGCUCCAAACAUGACUCUUAAGGUUUUCUGCGGAUUUUCAAGGCUGUAAUAGUAUUUUGAUAAUCUGGAAUGAAUGGACCGUUGGAUC